UACGUAGGGGGCAAGCGUUGUCCGGAUUUAUUGGGCGUAAAGCGCGUGUAGGCGGUUUGGUAGGUCCGUUGUGAAAACUCGAGGCUCAACCUCGAGACGCCGGCGGAAACCAUCAGGCUAGAGUCCGGAAGAGGAGAGUGGAAUUCCUGGUGUAGCGGUGAAAUGCGCAGAUAUCAGGAGGAACACCGGUGGCGAAGGCGGGUCUCUGGGCCGUAGCUGACGCUGAGACACGAAAGCGUGGGUAGCAAACAGG
rnacentral:rRNA from 1 species